AUUGAACGCUGGCGGCAGGCCUAACACAUGCAAGUCGAGCGGAUGAAGGGAGCUUGCUCCUGGAUUCCGCGGCGGACGGGUGAGUAAUGCCUAGGAAUCUGCCUGGUAUUUGGGGAUAACGUCCGGAAACGGGCGCUAGUACCGCAUACGUCCUGAGGGUGAAAGUGGGGGAUCUUCGGACCUCACGCCAUCAGAUGAGCCUAGGCCGGAUUAGCUAGUUGGUGGGGUAAGGGCCUACCAAGGCGACGAUCCGUAACUGGUCUGAGAGGAUGAUCAGUCACACUGGAACUGAGACACGGUCCAGACUCCUACGGGAGGCAGCAGUGGGGAAUAUUGGACAAUGGGCGAAAGCCUGAUCCAGCCAUGCCGCGUGUGUGAAGAAGGUCUUCGGAUUGUAAAGCACUUUAAGUUGGGAGGAAGGGCAGUAAGUUAAUACCUUGCUGUUUUGACGUUACCAGCAGAAUAAGCACCGGCUAACUUCGUG
rnacentral:rRNA from 1 species